UACGAAGGGUGCAAGCGUUACUCGGAAUUACUGGGCGUAAAGCGUGCGUAGGUGGUUUGUUAAGUCUGUUGUGAAAGCCCCGGGCUCAACCUGGGAAUGGCAAUGGAUACUGGCAGGCUAGAGUGCGGUAGAGGGUAGUGGAAUUCCCGGUGUAGCGGUGAAAUGCGCAGAUAUCAGGAGGAACACCGAUGGCGAAGGCAGCUCGCUGGGACGGUACUGACGCUGAGGCACGAAAGCGUGGGGAGCAAACAGG
rnacentral:rRNA from 1 species